rnacentral:rRNA from 1 species
AUUGAACGCUGCGGCAGGCUUAACACAUGCAAGUCGAGCGAGCGGCGGACGGGUGAGUAAUGCUUAGGAAUCUGCCUAUUAGUGGGGGACAACAUCGCGAAAGGGAUGCUAAUACCGAAUACUAAUAGAUGAGCAUAAGGCGGAGUAGCUAGUUGGUUGGGUAAAGGCCUACCAAGGCGACGAUCUGUAGCGGGUCUGAGCGGAUGAGCAGCCACACCGGGACUGAGACACGGCCCAGACUCCUACGGGAGGCAGCAGUGGGGAAUAUUGGACAAUGGGGGGAACCCUGAUCCAGCCAUGCCGCGUGUGUGAAGAAGGCCUUCGGGUUGUAAAGCACUUUCAGCGAGGAGGCGUUACCCGCAGAAGAAGCACCGGCUAACUCCGUGCCAGCAGCCGCGGUAAUAC